AGCUCCUGGACGAACGGUUGGUUGUUUCCUGGGGUUCCCUCCAAACACUUCAGCAGGUCGGCUUUCCUAUACUAGCUCACAGGCUGAAGGGUGAAGUGUUUGGGGAACUCUAGGUGACAACCGCCAUUUUAUCAAGGUCAAACUGCUG